UUUCAGAAAUGUGUUGGGGAUUUAGCUCAGCGGCUCAAGCACUUGUCUGCUCCACUGGCCAAGGCCACAUAUAUAUCAGCUCCAUCUCAAAGCUAAUUCAGGACCGAGGCUGCUUGGUGGAAAGCAAAGCACAGCUAAUCCAACACACCGCACAGGAAAAAGUCUGGAAACAGCCUAGACGUCUGGUGGAGGACAGAUUACCCAAUGAAGUACUUGACAGCUCUCGUGAGGAAUGAGGAGAAUCUCUGUGCAGUGACCUGCAGUGAAGGAACUUUCUGGACUCUAAGAGACUGGAGAGCAAUUUUCUCCUGGAUGUGUUGGUGAUUUCUACAUUUUAGUCUGCAGGUGGACCCUUUGAGCUGUCUUAGACUGAUUGAUGCUUUUAAAAUGAAGAAUCUGUUUGGCUUUAUUAUUUUCAUGGCAGUUUCUUAGGCUUAUCUAAAUAAACAUUUCCAUAUUC